UACAGAGGUGCCGAGCGUUAGGCGGAAUCACUGGGCUUAAAGCGUGUGUAGGCGGACUUCUAAGUACCUUGUGAAAUCCCACGGCUCACCCGUGGAACUGCUGGGUAUACUGGUCGUCUUGAGCCACCUAGGGGCGAGCGGAACAAAUGGCGGAGCGGUGAAAUGCGUAGAUAUCAUUUGGAACGCCAACGGUGAAAACAGCUCGCUGGGGGUGUGCUGACGCUGAGACACGAAAGCCAGGGGAGCGAACGGG
rnacentral:rRNA from 1 species